rnacentral:rRNA from 1 species
AUACGUAGGGGGCGAGCGUUGUCCGGAAUGAUUGGGCGUAAAGGGCGCGUAGGCGGCCCGGUAAGUCUGGAGUGAAAGUCCUGCUUUUAAGGUGGGAAUUGCUUUGGAUACUGUCGGGCUUGAGUGCAGGAGAGGUAAGUGGAAUUCCCAGUGUAGCGGUGAAAUGCGUAGAGAUUGGGAGGAACACCAGUGGCGAAGGCGACUUACUUGACUGUAACUGACGCUCAGGCGCGAAAGUGUGGAGAGCAAACAGGAUUAGAUACCCUGGGAGGCCACACUGUAAACGAGGAAUGCAAGGUGGAGGGGGUAUCGACCCCUUCUGUGCCGCAGUUAACUCAAUAAGCAUUCCGCCUGGGGAGUACGGCCGCAAGGUUGAAGCGCAAAUGAAGUGGCGGUG